rnacentral:rRNA from 1 species
AGAGUUUGAUCCUGGCUCAGAACGAACGCUGGCGGCGUGCUUAACACAUGCAAGUCGAACGUGAUCCGGAGCUUGCUCCGGUGAAAGUGGCGCACGGGUGAGUAACGCGUGGAUAAUCUGCCCUGGUAUCUGGGAUAACAUCUCGAAAGGGGUGCUAAUACCGGAUAAGCCUACGGUCUCUUCGGAGUCUGCAGGAAAAGGUGGCCUCUAUUUAUAAGCUACCGUAUCAGGAUGAGUCCGCGUACCAUUAGCUAGUUGGUGGGGUAAUGGCCCACCAAGGCUACGAUGGUUAGCUGGUCUGAGAGGAUGAUCAGCCACACUGGAACUGAGACACGGUCCAGACUCCUACGGGAGGCAGCAGUGGGGAAUUUUGCGCAAUGGGGGAAACCCUGACGCAGCAACGCCGCGUGAGUGAUGAAGGCUUUCGGGUCGUAAGGC